CCGUAUAACGAACGAGACCUUAACCUGCUAAAUAGUCAGGCCGUCAUUUGAUGGUCGCCGGCUUCUUAGAGGGACUGUCAGCGUCUAGCUGACGGAAGUUUGAGGCAAUAACAGGUCUGUGAUGCCCUUAGAUGUUCUGGGCCGCACGCGCGCUACACUGACAGGGCCAGCGAGUUUAUCACCUUGGCCGAAAGGUCUGGGUAAUCUUGUGAAACCUUGUCGUGCUGGGGAUAGAGCAUUGCAAUC
rnacentral:rRNA from 1 species